UAAUGUCGCGUAAGUCGCCUGUUAAUUAUGUAAUUAAGGGCGUAAAUUACCGGUUGUCACAAGCCACACUUGGACUGAGACACGGCCCAGACACCUACGGGAGGCAGCAGUGGGGAAUUUUCCACAAUGGGCGAAAGCCUGACAGAGCAAUGUCGCGUGGAGGUAGAAGGCCCACGGGUCGUGAACUUCUUUUCCUGGAGAAGAAGCCAUGAUGGUAUCGGGGGAAUAAGUAUCGGCUAACUCUGUGCCAGCAGCCGCGGUAAUACAGAGGAUGCAA
rnacentral:lncRNA from 1 species